GUUAGGAAUAUUGGACAAUGGGCGCAAGCCUGAUCCAGCCAUGCCGCGUGAGUGAUGAAGGCCUUCGGGUUGUAAAGCUCUUUAGUCCACGAAUAUAAUGACUGUAGUGGAAGAAUAAGCCCCGGCUAACUUCGUGCCAGCAGCCGCGGUAAUACGAAGGGGGCGAGCGUUAUUCGGAAUCACUGGGCGUAAAGCGUGCGUAGGCUGUUUUGUAAGUCAGAAGUGAAAGCCCAGGGCUUAACCCUGGAAUUGCUUUUGAAACUACAAGACUCGAAUUCGGGAGAGGAUAGCGGAGUUGUCAGUGUAGCAGUGAAAUGCGUAGAUAUUGACAGGAACACCAGUGGCGCAAGCGGCUAUCUGGACCGAUAUUGACGCUGAGGCACGAAAGCGUGGGGAGCAAACAGGAUUAGAAACCCGAGUAGUCC
rnacentral:rRNA from 1 species